UAAUGAAGAAACAACCAGAUCCUGGCGAACGAGUGCAAUGCAAUGAAAACCAUUCUGACGGAUUUGCAGUGCAUCUUGCCAAACCUCCAAAAAAUUGUAGAACAUAAAAAGGGAACUAAAUGGAAACAUGAUAGAAAGAGAGACUCCCACAGCCUUACAAAUUUUUUUAUGACUAAGGUAUUCAUAAACUUUGGUAAUAUAGUGAAUUUGAGAGAAUCUUCAAUGUAAGUUGUGAAAGGGAUAAUAGCUUUAUGCUAUCUGCAUGACUAUGAACCCUUUUUUUUUGUUUAACUGAAUUUGAAAUUUGCAAUAAUAAUUAUAGACAGAAAAAUGUGACAAUAACAACCAACCUUGUAACAGACAAU
rnacentral:misc_RNA from 1 species